rnacentral:tRNA from 1 species
AGCUUGGAAGCCCAGCCGUAGUGCAUUGGUUUCAUGAUCCAAAGACAGAGGGAUCAAUACCCUCCCAGGCUA